rnacentral:lncRNA from 1 species
CUGGAGUGUCCCCAUACUUUCUACCAUACUCAUCGUAAAGGGAGCUGUAACUCCAUUCUGUUACGCUCUCCCAAAGAGCUUUAAGAGCUUUAAAAUUAAAAGGGUUAUGCAAAUGGAUAUUUUGUCUUGGGGAUUGAGGAUCAGGGGCAGUAGUUAUAGGGCAUGCUAAAAAAGUCUGUUCCUCUAGACUAGAUUUUAGGGCUUAUUGAAGGGGAGUUAGUGUUGCCUCCACAUCUAAAGGCUUAUUUAAACUCUCAUCAAGAAAGGGAUUAGUCUGAGGGGGAGCAGAAGGCAGUGGUGUUUCUUUAUGCUCCUGCAAGGGUUCCAAAACACGUCUUACUACUCCCUAUGUAUACACACACACACACAUAUAUAAAUAUUAAAAAAUACAGCUCCUAUAUAACAAAAAGCUGGGGAGUUCCCGUCGUGGCUCAGUGGUUAACGACUCUGACUAGGAACCAUGAGGUUUCAGGGAUCAAACCCACAAGGAACCCUCAGAUUGCCUUGUCAGAUUCGUUAACCACUAAGCUACAACGGGAACUCCUGGUUUAAACUCUCUACUUGCCUACUCACAGUCACUACUCUCUCGAGUGCAAGGCUACCGUUUCCCCGACUGUAGUUUCACCUCUUCCUGCUCAAGGCAGACCUUCUCUUCUAGCCCCAGGUUGGGCGCCACUCCGUCGCAUGCAGAGCUGCAGGGAAAUGGUGAAUCCUGGAAGAGCGACAGCACAAGUAUACAAAACACACGAGACUACUUUACAUCUAGGAAGUGGGGGACCAGGGAGUUCCUGUCUUGGUGCAGUGGAAACGAAUCCCUGGCCUUGCCGAGUGGGUUAAGGAUCCAGUGUUGCCAAGAACUGUAGUGUAGGUCGAGACUCGGCUUGGAUCCCUCAUUGCUGCGGCUGUGGUGUAGGCCAUCAGCUAUAGCUCCGAUUAGACCUGUAGCCUGGGAACCUCCAUAUGCUGAGGGUACGGUCCUAAAAAGACAAAAAAAAAAAAAAAAAAAAAAGGAAAGAAAGGGGGGCCCAGGAGGCACUCUGCUCAGAAGAGCAAAGACCCUAGGCUUCUACCCACAUGAC